UUCGCACUUGCUGGCCCUAAGCCCGCCUCCGCCUCAGACCCUCGGCCGUCACUGGCGGGUCUAGCCGGGUCUCCUGCCAGGAAAAUCCACUUAGGGCCCUUAGAAUGGGUCAACGGAACGCCAGCAAACCCCUAGACGGCGACAUAGCAGAGUGGCUAGGACCGACACCAACAGCCCAAGUCCUGCCAGACUAGACUGGUCUUCGCCAUAGCGUGAUGUACGCUGCAGGCUAUUGCCGUGUACUUCCUACUUGACAUGCAGGCAUGAAGAGAGGUCGGGAUGCCGGAAUGGGCUGUGUGACAGCCUUGUCUGUUGGCAGUUGCAGGGGGAUAAGAGCCCAUGAUGGCAGAGUGAAGGCCUGACAACUGGGAGACCGAAACGGAACAAGAACAAAACACAUUGCAGGGUACUGAGAGCACUUUCUGAAGGAAUUAUGCAACAUUGUAAAUUCUCACAUGUUCUCUCUGAGAACUAACCGUGACAAAAACAUCUCACUUCACGAAUGAAGAAGUGGUCCCAGCAUGCUCGUCACUCAUUUCCUAGAGAGUUAGAUGCUGCUCAGCAGCUCUGCAUCUCACUCUCCGCCCACUGGAAACCUGAACCAAGGAAGCCUGCACGGUGCUGCUCAUCAAAGCUUUCUGUGUGCUGACAGAUCCAGCGACGGUGUCUUCCUAAGAAGCAGAGGCAGGUCACCAGGAGCGCCUCCCCUUCACUAGCCAGCCUCUGCUCGGCAAUGCCAGCCACACGGUUUCCCAGAGCCUUUCCAGAUCCUGCCUGUAAUGUACAAUUGUUCAGAAGAAACUGAUGCCAAGAUUUUUCUGAAUGGAAACUCCAACUGCCCUUGGAAAGAGUGUCCACGUGGAUUCAGGGUUUCCAUGAGUAACAGCCACUGAAUAUCCAAAAUACAUGUUUCUUUUGCCAAGUUUCCGUGGACGGGUGCAAAAGAGACCCAGAGGACCUUAUUCCUGGCCGUCACCCUUGUAGCACAGCACAGAAGGGGAAGAACCUUGAGGCUGGUUGCCCUGUUUCUUUGGCUAGCAGGUGGAUCAGUGGGCUCUCUGUGUUCCCGCCUGUGUCUGAAAUACAGGAUGACUAACAAACACAAGGAAGAUUUUGGUGGAACUAGUUCACACAUAAAAACAUGUGGAGUCUAAUGGCAAAUACUUACCAUUAUUGAAGUCCUCCAAGCAAAGCUCUACAAAGACCAUAGGGAACAGGCCUGUUGAGUCCCCUUAGAGAAGCAGGAGGUGUAGGAGAGCCAGGAUGCUCCUUUGUGAUUCCAGCCAUUCCCCACCCCACCCCACCCCCACCCUCCCCAGCCAGUUGUGUGCAGUUCUACCCUCAGGGCUCAGGGUCUUAGAGAUGCUCUGUUCUGGGGAAGCAUCAUCUACACUGAGUGAAGACUUCCCAGUGUGGCUACUUGGAGAUCUCACGCUGAGGCAGGCAGCCUCUCCCCUACGCUCUGUAAAGAGGCUCAGUGACCUCCCUGGUUCCCCUAGGGUGAACUUUGGUAAAAUCCCGCUUUAGUUUGUCACCAGGGCCUUAUAGGGAGGGGUAGGUGUUGCUCAUACCUCCCUGGGGAAGGAAUAUCUGAAACACCUAUUUUCUUUGCGCUUAGCAGAUGGAGGCAAGAGAAUGGGAAACUCAAGAUUAUCCCCAAGCUAUUAGGUAACUGUCUAGGAAGAAAACCUAAAAAUGUGUUUACCCAGUACCCUCCACUCUACUGCUUUGGGAUCUGAAUGACAUCUUUAUUUGUUCUCUAGAAUAGUUUAUCUGUUUGGUUGUUUUGUUUCAUUUUAUACUUUUUUUUUUUUUUUUUUUUUUUUUUUUGAGACAGGGUUCUCUGUGUAAUAGAGCCCUGGCUCUCCUGGACUCGCUUAUGUAAGAGAUCCUUCUGCCUCUGCCUCCCAAGUGCUGGGCUUACAGGCGUGUGCCACCAUGCCUGGCUUGUUUGAUUUUUAAAUGCUGGUUGAAUAGGAGCCAUAUCACUUAUAUAGCUUUUGCUGAAAAACCAGGUGCCUGUUGCCGUGUUUAGAGGUGCUGGGCGAGUUGGUGAGGUGUGGUGGGCGGUUCCUUUUAUGUUGUGGUGCAGUGUAGCUCUGCAGGCCCCAAGGAAGCAUCCUUACAAAGCAUCCUGUUACACUUAGGCCUUGACACAAAGCCCUUCUGCUGUCUUCCCAUCAGCUUCUCAACUCUCUGGUCCACCCCAGCAAUGCCACUGUUCCCCAUGAUGUACUUGGAGACUGCUGGAGAAGCAGGAAGAGGAGUGGGCUUAGAGCUGGACAGUACCGAUAGGCAGAUUAGUCCCCAACAUCUGGGCUCCUAACCCUACCAGCUAGCAGUCACCUCACUACGGAGGCCUCUAGGAAAUGCUUGUGCAGCUAAGAAUCAGUCUUGUCUUUUCGUCAUAUCAUUAGCACCACCACCGGGACGACAGAGCCUUUCAGAUACUGAGGCAGGACCCACCAGCCACCGCUCACCUGGUAAAUGGUUCCAGAAGAGCGAGGGGGCGAAGGACUCCUGUGGGUUUUGUGACCUUCAGAUCCUUGCCGGUCAGCAGCUGAAAAGAAUAAACUCUUACAGCUUAUACACAGAAUAUGAACACACCUCACAUACAUUACACUAAGAGAAAGAAGCUAGGUUUAAAGCAGCAAGUUCUGCUAGAAUGUUCUAGAAAAGUAAAACUAUUGGGCCUAUGAACAGAUGCCCUGUUGUCAGAGGCUGGUGUGAGGAGGGUUUGAAGAGGAAGCUAGAGCACCCUGGAAGAUUCUGUACCUUCAUCUUGAUGGCAGGCGUGUGACUUCAAAGCCUAUACACUGAAAGGCCCAGACAGCACUGGCCACCAAAGAGAGGAAUUUUUUGGCUGUGAAUCUGUGAUGGUUAGCUUUAGUUGUUGAUUUGACCUAACCUCAAGUCACAUAGGAGGCAGGUCUCUGGCUAUGUAUAGAGCAGGGUGUCCUUGAGUCCAUUAAUCAAGUGUUGAAGGCCUGCUCUCCAUGAGUAGCGCCUUUCCAUAGGCCAGGGUCCUGGACUGAGUGAAGCAGAGAGAGGGAGCUGAAUGCUAACACACACACAAGGCCCAUAACCUGGAACUGUGAGCCAA